GGCGUGCUUAAACAUGCAAGUCGAACGAACCUUCGGGUUAGUGGCGGACGGGUGAGUAACGCGUGGGAAUCUGCCCUCAGGAGGGGGAUAACGGUUGGAAACGGCCGCUAAUACCCCAUAUGCCGAGAGGUGAAAUGAAUUUCGCCUGAGGAUGAGCCCGCGUCUGAUUAGCUAGUUGGUGAGGUAAGAGCUCACCAAGGCAUCGAUCAGUAGCUGGUCUGAGAGGAUGAUCAGCCACACUGGGACUGAGACACGGCCCAGACUCCUACGGGAGGCAGCAGUGGGGAAUUUUCCGCAAUGGGCGAAAGCCUGACGGAGCAACGCCGCGUGAGGGAUGAAGGCCUCUGGGCUGUAAACCUCUUUUAUCAAGGAAGAAGAUCUGACGGUACUUGAUGAAUAAGCCACGGCUAAUUCC
rnacentral:rRNA from 1 species